rfam:Schistosoma curassoni strain Dakar, Senegal genome assembly, scaffold: SCTD_scaffold0019053
AUCCAGCUCACGAGUCCCAAAUAGACGAAACGCGCGUCCUGGAU